AACGCACAUUGCGCCCGCUAGUAUUCUGGCGGGCAUGCCUGUUCGAGCGUCAUUUCAACCCUCAGACUCUGUCUGGUGUUGGAGAUCGGCUUUUUGAGUCGUCUCCCAAAUAGAGUGGCGGUCUCGCUGUAGCUUCCUCUGCGUAGUACUAUACCUCGCUCUGGAAAUAUGGUGUGAUCAUGCCGUUAAACCCCCUAUUUUUUUUUUGGUUGACCUCGGAUCAGGUAGGAAUACCCGCUGAACUUAA
rnacentral:misc_RNA from 1 species